rnacentral:rRNA from 1 species
ACCUGCCCAGAAGCGGGGGACAACAUUUGGAAACAGAUGCUAAUACCGCAUAACAACGUUGUUCGCAUGAACAACGCUUAAAAGAUGGCUUCUCGCUAUCACUUCUGGAUGGACCUGCGGUGCAUUAGCUUGUUGGUGGGGUAACGGCCUACCAAGGCGAUGAUGCAUAGCCGAGUUGAGAGACUGAUCGGCCACAAUGGGACUGAGACACGGCCCAUACUCCUACGGGAGGCAGCAGUAGGGAAUUUUCCACAAUGGGCGCAAGCCUGAUGGAGCAACACCGCGUGAGUGAAGAAGGGUUUCGGCUCGUAAAGCUCUGUUGUUAAAGAAGAACACGUAUGAGAGUAACUGUUCAUACGUUGACGGUAUUUAACCAGAAAGUCACGGCUAACUACGUGCCAGCAGCCGCGGUAAUACGUAGGUGGCAAGCGUUAUCCGGAUUUAUUGGGCGUAAAGAGAGUGCAGGCGGUUUUCUAAGUCUGAUGUGAAAGCCUUCGGCUUAACCGGAGAAGUGCAUCGGAAACUGGAUAACUUGAAUGCAGAAGAGGGUAGUGGAACUCCAUGUGUAGCGGUGGAAUGCGUAGAUAUAUGGAAGAACACCAGUGGCGAAGGCGGCUACCUGGUCUGCAACUGACGCUGAGACUCGAAAGCAUGGGUAGCGAACAGGAUUAGAUACCCUGGUAGUCCAUGCCGUAAACGAUGAGUGCUAGGUGUUGGAGGGUUUCCGCCCUUCAGUGCCGGAGCUAACGCAUUAAGCACUCCGCCUGGGGAGUACGACCGCAAGGUUGAAACUCAAAGGAAUUGACGGGGGCCCGCACAAGCGGUGGAGCAUGUGGAUUAAUUCGAAGCUACGCGAAGAACCUUACCAGGUCUUGACAUCUUGCGCCAACCCUAGAGAUAGGGCGUUUCCUUCGGGAACGCAAUGACAGGUGGUGCAUGGUCGUCGUCAGCUCGUGUCGUGAGAUGUUGGGUUAAGUCCCGCAACGAGCGCAACCCUUGUUACUAGUUGCCAGCAUUAAGUUGGGCACUCUAGUGAGACUGCCGGUGACAAACCGGAGGAAGGUGGGGACGACGUCAGAUCAUCAUGCCCCUUAUGACCUGGGCUACACACGUGCUACAAUGGACGGUACAACGAGUCGCGAACUCGCGAGGGCAAGCAAAUCUCUU